GUUGCAACUGUUGCUGCUGUGGUAAGUAUUGUGGCUGCUGCUGUGGUAACUGUUGCUGCUGUAGCAAGUGUUGCGGCUGCUGUUGCAACUGUUGCUGCUGUAGUGGCUGCUGUUGCUGUGGCAAGUGUUGCGGCUGCUGUUGCAACUGUUGCUGCUGUAACUGUUGCUGCUGUAGUGGCUGCUGUUGCUGUGGCAAGUGUUGCGGCUGCUGUUGCAAC